UAGGGAAUCUUCCACAAUGGACGAAAGUCUGAUGGAGCAACGCCGCGUGAGUGAAGAAGGGUUUCGGCUCGUAAAACUCUGUUGUUAAAGAAGAACAUAUCUGAGAGUAACUGUUCAGGUAUUGACGGUAUUUAGCCAGAAAGCCACGGCUAACUACGUGCUAG
rnacentral:rRNA from 1 species